UUUAAAUUUAGUAGUAAGAAUCUAGUACAAUAAGGUAUUUAAAUUAAAUUGCUUUUUGUUUGAUAUUUCUCGCUCCUUUCUGCCAACCCCCUCACCCAUCUUUUUUUCUCCAUUCUCCUUGUCUUGCCAUUUUGGAAGCUGAAGUGAUGCUUUGCUGUCACUGAAGUGAAUGUGGAUUCUGCUGCUGAAAGAGCACACUGGGAAUUUUUUUGCCAUAUCUUUUGUAACAACUUAUAGAUCUCCAUCAGCAAGACGAUUAUUGGGAUUUCCAUCUGUGAAUGAACUAGUGACACCUACUUUCAGCCAGUAUUGUGAAGAUUAAUUAAUUGACAUUAUUGAAGUAUCCUGAGGUGGAAGUCCUAACGUAACACUUGUCUAGCGGAGGGGCAUGCAGAAAACUCCUGCAUGGCAUUUUAUCCAACCCCUCUCCUACCUUUCACCUCACCGGUCACGGUCAUGUACAGACAAGCUGCAGCAGAUGAAUUGUGCAGAGAGAUGGUGAGGAUUUGCCCUGAUGCAUUGAAACACUCAGAGUAUGUGAAGUCAUCCCCAAGCUACCUGAGCCAGCACAUGCCUUCUUUCUGACUUCAGUGGAUUAGGAUUUUUCUGCCAUGUACGUUUGCUGACUGGACAGCAAGGAAAUGUUUUGUUGCCUAUCUGCUCACACACGUGAGGCUUCACAGAGCAGGUGUGUUCUGUGUGGCUGAUAACUUGGGAAUAUGUGUUGUCUCCAUCAGAAACAUGUUUUUCCUGCUGUUAGGGCUAUUCAGGUUAUCUGUGUAUAAUACCAUGAGCUGGAAGAGAAAGGGAAUUUGUGCCCUUUGAAGAAACUCCUCCAGAUUCUCUUCUGUCUCUCUUCAGUGUGAUACACAAAUAUUUAUGUUCUUUAUUAUCUCUUUUCCCCAGCCCUUGCUCCAAUCUUUCAGGCAGUUAAGAGUCUGGCUUUGGGCUUGGUGAGGGAUGCAGGUUUUCAUUUCAACAUGUUACUGGAUUUUUUGGUUCUGGAGCAGAAACCAGCCUGUCUCCUUGCAUUAGACCCUGUCAGGUCUCUCCUGCACUGAUGCACUUAUUAAAAGCUUAGUUAUUUAUUCAUUUCCUCUUCACUAUCUUUAGGUAUACGCCUGGACUUAGGAAUGAUCAGUCAUGUUUUUUUCAUCUUGCCUUGCUCUUUUUGUUCUCCUAUAUCAGUAUGGGAAACCAUGGUGUUAGUACUGGACUCACCCCUGGAAACCAAUGUUUCCAACUCAUUUAUCUGUACAAAUUAUCUUUCUGGAUUAUCUUUUCUGCUUUUCUGAUUAAAACUGGCUAACACUGAAGACUCCAUGGCCUUCCUUUUUACUUACUGACUCACAAAAAUAUGUCAGAACUUUUCCAUUUGCAGGCCUGACAAGCAGCUACCUGACUGUGUGGAACACUUGCAGGCACAAG